GGUGAGUUAGUAAAAGGAAUUGGUGAAACAGCAGGAGAUCUGAAAAAUUCAAUAAUUGGUGGAGAAAAUCAUGGAUUAAUACCAAGUAUAAUAGAUGCUGGUGAAAAAGUUGUUAAAGAGACAGGUGGCAUAAUCCAUGGAAUUGGUGAUGCAUUUGGAGGGCUGGGAAAAUGAAGAAGUUCUCCAAGCAACAACAGUUCUGAGUGUAAUCUUGCUGUAAACCAAGUGAUUGGAGAAAUAUCACCUAAAUCAACAACACAAACUGGAAUUUGCUCCUGACUAAUUGCUUAAAUAUUAUGA